UAGGCCGUCUGCCGAUAUUGAUGAUAGUUCUACUCCAUUGGAUGCGAUUUAAAAUAUUUUGCGAGAAUUUAAGUCGGCAAUUAAGCAAUUCUGUUAAACUCGAUAUUAGACAGAUAUUGGACAAGUACGAUGCAAUUCACGAACGGUUCAAUGAAGUCGGAUUUCCUGUAAAACUUAUGGUACUAAUCUUUGCUAUUUUUGGAAUUAUGACAAUGGUCAUACAUGAAUACCGGAUGAUCAUGAUUGCAAAUGAAGAAAUUUCAGGUCGCUCUUCUUUAAUAAUAUGGUCAUUCGUUCGUGUAUUACAUAAUCUAAUGCUAUCAUUUAGCGGUGCAGCCUUAUUUGAAGUUUGCUCAUACGAAUUGGAUCAAAUAAAACUGCGCAUCGUCAGCAAAAUUAUUACACUUUCAGAUGAAAGACAAAAGGCGGACCUGAGACAGCUUUUGGAAUAUUUAACCAUGAAUCCAAUGAAAUUCAGCGCAUUUAGUAUCAUACCAUUUAAUAUGCGGUUCCCCUUGCAAUUUCUAUCUCUUAGCCUAAAUUACUUCAUUUUCAUGUUACAAUUGACAUUCUCUACUAAAUGAAUACAAUUUGUUUGAUAAACGUUACCGGAAAAGUGAAAAAUAUAGGGAAUAAUCACUAGUCCUUUUAUUAUCUGCCACUACGUAAUCGGGGGCACGGUGAUGCCAUACGACUGAGCAUUUUCGGAUAACUCCCGAAUGUCAAAAACGUUAAUCAUUAACGAUUUUGAUAUACCGGAGUCGUGCGCUUAGAUUUGACUCUGAAUCUAAAUUUGCCUAUUACAUUAAUAUUUACGUACAUAAGUUACUGUGGAAUUUUCUGUUGAAGAGGUUGUCAACCUAUAUAAAACAAUUUAUAUGCUUGAUGCACAUAAGAUUUUACCACUAAUUUUAAUAUUAAAAACGCGUUUAAAUAUAAUUGUAUUGAGAAUAAAUAAGUGUUCAUGAUA